rnacentral:rRNA from 1 species
UACGGGGGGAGCAAGCGUUGUUCGGAUUUACUGGGCGUAAAGGGCGCGUAGGCGGCCACCGCAAGUCGGUUGUGAAAUCUCCGGGCUUAACCCGGAAAGGUCAACCGAUACUGCGGGCUAGAGUGCAGAAGGGGCAACUGGAAUUCUCGGUGUAGCGGUGAAAUGCGUAGAUAUCGAGAGGAACACCUGCGGCGAAGGCGGGUUGCUGGGCUGACACUGACGCUGAUGCGCGAAGGCCAGGGGAGCAAACGGG